rnacentral:rRNA from 1 species
UACGAAGGGGGCUAGCGUUGCUCGGAAUGACUGGGCGUAAAGGGCGCGUAGGCGGGCUGCUUAGUCAGGCGUGAAAGUCCUGGGCUCAACCCGGGGAUUGCGCUUGAUACGGGUGGCCUUGAGUUGGGAAGAGGGUCGUGGAAUUCCCAGUGUAGAGGUGAAAUUCGUAGAUAUUGGGAAGAACACCGGUGGCGAAGGCGGCGACCUGGUCCUUGACUGACGCUGAGGCGCGAAAGCGUGGGGAGCAAACAGG